rnacentral:rRNA from 1 species
UACAGAGGGGGCAAGCGUUGUUCGGAAUUACUGGGCGUAAAGGGCGCGUAGGCGGCCCGCUAAGUCGAACGUGAAAUCCCCGAGCUCAACUCGGGAACUGCGUCCGAUACUGGUGGGCUUGAAUCCGGGAGAGGGAUGCGGAAUUCCAGGUGUAGCGGUGAAAUGCGUAGAUAUCUGGAGGAACACCGGUGGCGAAGGCGGCAUCCUGGACCGGCAUUGACGCUGAGGCGCGAAAGCGUGGGGGGCAAACAGG